rnacentral:rRNA from 1 species
UACGUAGGUGGCAAGCGUUAUCCGGAAUUAUUGGGCGUAAAGAGUGAGCAGGCGGCAGUUUAAGUCUGAGGUUAAAGCGUGGGGCUCAACCCCAUAAAGCCUUGGAAACUGAACAGCUAGAGUACGAGAGAAGUAAGCGGAAUUCCAUGUGUAGCGGUGAAAUGCGUAGAUAUAUGGAGGAACACCAGUGGCGAAGGCGGCUUACUAGCUCGAAACUGACGCUCAGUCACGAAAGCGUGGGUAGCAAAUA